rnacentral:rRNA from 1 species
GAUGAACGCUCGCGACAGGCUUAACACAUGCAAGUCGAGGGGCAGCACAGGUAGCAAUACCGGGUGGCGACCGGCGCACGGGUGAGUAACGCGUAUGCAACUUACCUAUCAGAGGGGGAUAACCCGGCGAAAGUCGGACUAAUACCGCAUGAAGCAGGGGUCCCGCAUGGGGAUAUUUGCUAAAGAUUCAUCGCUGAUAGAUAGGCAUGCGUUCCAUUAGGCAGUUGGCGGGGUAACGGCCCACCAAACCGACGAUGGAUAGGGGUUCUGAGAGGAAGGUCCCCCACAUUGGUACUGAGACACGGACCAAACUCCUACGGGAGGCAGCAGUGAGGAAUAUUGGUCAAUGGCCGAGAGGCUGAACCAGCCAAGUCGCGUGAGGGAUGAAGGUUCUAUGGAUCGUAAACCUCUUUUAUAAGGGAAUAAAGUGCGGGACGUGUCCCGUUUUGUAUGUACCUUAUGAAUAAGGAUCGGCUAACUCCGUG